GCCAGGUGUGAUGGCAUGCAUCUGUAGUCCCAGCUACUCAGGAGGCUGAGAUGGGAGGAUUGCUUGAGCCCAGGAGGUUGAGACUGCAGUGAGCCACGAUUGUGCCACUGCACUCCAGCCUGGGCUACAGAGUGAGACCCUGUCUCAA
rnacentral:SRP_RNA from 1 species